UGGAACAAAUUCAAUUACCGGUCCAUAAAAAUUGUUUAAACACAUUAAUUUUACUAUAAUAUGAUAUAUAUUGUUGAAAAAUCAAUACUAUUAACCGAGCUCCGCUCAGAAUCGUUUUCCGUUAGCAACGGUAUGUACCUAUUAAAUUUCCUUCUAUAUCCUACUUUCCCCAGGUUAUGGAAAAAAAAUAGUAUAUUUGAAGUUUAGUUAAUCGACUUUCAAAUACUUAUAUGAAAAAUAAUUUUUAAUUAAAAGCAUUUAAUAAAU